GAAGCGGCCACACCCGGCUGGCAACAUCCAGCUCCACUCCGAACCUGGAAAUUAAGCAGUCGCGGGCCACAUCAUACUGGGCUGGGCGACUUCCCGGGAACGUGCGGUGCUGCUUUUUUUCCUUUUUGCGCGGUGCAGGGCUAUUGCCCUGCACCAAUACUACACUCUACACCUAUGUUUGUCCCUGCUAAAACUCUUAUAUGUUGAGAUAUUUUAUAAUUUUAUAUUUUUAUUAAAAAAUGAAAAUUUUUCAUAAGCGAGGACUCCUCCGCUGGAGGAAAUUAGAGUGGUAAUGGUAGUGUGAAUAGUGUGUGACGAACAUCCUUUC
rnacentral:rRNA from 1 species